GCUAAGUUGAUAGGGUGAAGAAGCAUCAGUUGCCAGGAGGACGGAAGCUAUUGCGUUCGAGAUAGCUAAGUUGAUAAGGCGAAGAAGCAUCAGGUUAAUUUUUGCUAGCUCGGGUUGGAGAUUGUCGGAGAUGUCAUCACACUA